rnacentral:rRNA from 1 species
GACGAACGCUGGCGGCGUGCUUAACACAUGCAAGUCGAACGGAAAGGCCCCCUUGUGGGGUACUCGAGUGGCGAACGGGUGAGUAACACGUGAGUAACCUACCCUUGACUUUGGGAUAACUUCAGGAAACUGGGGCUAAUACCGGAUAGGAGCUCCUGCUGCAUGGGGGGGGUUGGAAAGUGUCGGCGGUUGGGGGUGGGCUCGCGGCUUAUCCGCUUGUUGGUGGGGGUGUGGCUCACCAAGGCUUUGACGGGUAGCCGGCCUGAGAGGGUGACCGGCCACAUUGGGACUGAGAUACGGCCCAGACUCCUACGGGAGGCAGCAGUGGGGAAUAUUGCACAAUGGGCGGAAGCCUGAUGCAGCAACGCCGCGUGCGGGAUGACGGCCUUCGGGUUGUAAACCGCUUUCGCCUGUGACGAAGCGUGAGUGACGGUAAUGGGUAAAGAAGCACCGGCUAACUACGUG